GCUGCGCGCCGGACGGGGCCAACCAGGGCGUCAGGGUCCUGGGGACGCCGCCUCAAGGCCGCGGCGGCGAUGAGCUCCGAGCGGGACACUGAACGGCCCGAACGCGCAAGAUAAGCACGGACUGAACCAGGUACACGUACCUGCCGGGGACGCACUGACCGAGGUGCGUCCAGGACGAGUAAAGCCGCGAACGCUCGGACCUAAGAACUUGACAGGUACACCCUGCCUGAUGAAGCUACGGCCAGGUGCGCAUCGAGUGAAUCAGCUCCGGGCUAGUGGCAGAUGGCUCAACCUCUAGAUGGAAGAGCCUGCUCCUAGGAGGCCUCGACACAUCAAAAGCAGAUUGGACUCCAGGCUUUAGCAGCUGAGAGGUCCAUUCUGAGGUUGGUUCCAUCCAUCGCCCCUGAUUUGAGAUGCUCAUAACAGUUUCCGUUUCUUUAUCUGAGAGAUGAGAGGGUUGGAAAUAAUGAUUCCCAGGGGUCCUUUUACCUUUGAAAUAUAAUGGAAAACAAGAGACCCUGAAGACAAAGGGUAUUAAUACGGUGGUCAAAUCAAGCUGGAUCUUCUCUCCCCUCUGCCGGGGGCCUCCACAUCAUGCAGGACUUGGCAGUGGAUUUGCAGAAGACUCGGCACAAGGGCCCUGGGCUCUCACCUUUAGAAAAUGGUGCAAUUUAAUGGCCCGUUCCCCUGAGACAUGGAAACAAGAAUAACGAGCACCAUAAUUCUAACAGGAGACGUCAUAGAAUGUAGGUGGGUCUUAAUAAUUUCUCAACUUGGAAUUGUCUACUUCGUGGCAAAAUCUCGGCUUCCAGGAUGACUUCCCGGCCCACCUCUGGAGCAGCUUCGCUCAACACCAAUGUGCUUGGGGAAUGCAAAAUCACUUUAAUAUUGGCUGGAGACAAACGUAAUUAGGAAGGUUUAUCUUCCCAUGAGAAAGAAGUUGGAGUAGAGGAUCUCAGAAGCCCUUCUCACUCUGAGAGAAGCUAUGGGAGUCAUAGAGAGCUCCUGGGAUUUGGAGUCAAAAGAGCCGACUCAUCCUCUGCCACCCUUAGGAGCUGUGAUCUGAAUCAACCCUGGAGCCCUCUGUCAGAGCUGCUCAGAGGAGGCUCCAGAAAACCCUGCCACUCGGGGGCCAGAAGCUACUGGAUGUGAAGUCUAUUAAAGAAUUUUGGGGCAAAUACGUCACGUUCACCUCUCCACUGGCAGCAAGAGAGAGUCUCCUGGAAAUGAAGGCGGGAUAAGAAAGGGCUUAAUUCUCAUUGCUGUCUCCUAUAAGCCCUUAUCCACGUGGGUAAACUGGUGUUUGUGUUUGGAAAUGUUUGUGUGUGCAAGAGAGUGCAUGUGUGCAUGCAGGUAUAUGCGUGUGUGUAUGGGGGCUGUUUGGAGGCAUGUACAAUAGGUGCUCCGUAUCUGUGGGUUCCACAUCCUCGAAUUCAGCCAAGGAUCAAAAAUAUUUUUUAAAAAAUAACAAUGCAACAAUAAAAAAAUACAAAUUUAAAAAAUAAUACAGUAUAACAACUAUUUACAUUGGAUUAAGUAUUGUAAGUAAUCUAGGUUAUACACAAACACUACCCCAUUCUACAUAAGGGACUUAAGCAUCAUUAAAUUUUGGUACCUGGGGAGAUCCUGGAACCAGUCCCCCCUGGGUAAUGAAGGAUUCCUAUCUACAUGUCUCUGUGUGCAUGUGUCUCUCUGGGUGUACGUUGGUUAACUCUUUCUGUAUAACAGACCACACCAUUUAUCACUGCCACACAUCUGUGCAUUGGCUGGGCUGGGCUGAUCUAGGCUGGGCUUUGCUGGAGCAGCUCUGCUUCACGUGUCUCAUCCUCCUGCUGGGACCAAGGGCUAGCCCAGACAUGUUCUUUGCAUAGUAUUGACAUAAAGGCAAGAGGUCUCUUAAGGCCUAGCCUUGGAACUGCCACUCCAUCACGUCUGCCAUAUUCUAUUGGCCAAAGCAAGUCACAUGACCAAACGCAAAGUCAAGGGGCAGGGAAAUGUAUUCUGCCCCCUCAGUGGAAAUAUAGGCAGAGGUGGGGAAUUGGGGUCAAUAUUGUGUUCUACAAAGAUGUGCAUGCAUGUAUAUUUGUGUAUGCCCAUGUGUGCUUGCAUAUGUACAUGACAGUAUAUGUGUGCAUAAAUGGCCUUCCACAUAUAUGCAAAUGUAUGCACAGCUGUGUAUAUGCAUGAUCAUGUCAAGCUGUUAAAUGUACCUGUGAUUCUGUGUGUGUCUGCUUAGGAGCAUUCCUCAGACACACACAUGCAGUGCCCAGCCAGGCCAUGCCAGAGGAGUGGAUGGGCUGAUCCUGUGAAGUGGAUAUAUCUCCAAUCCUCACAGAGAUACCUGUGGGACUGCCAAUGAGUUUCUUGCCAUCUGCAUGUGCUGAGGUAGAUCUUGCUCUGUUAGUGGCCCUGAGAAAAUUCACUGGUCAGUUGUCUUGUAGUCUAUUAUUACCCAGAUGUCUGUGUGUUCCAAACGAUUGUUUUUAAAUUGCUUCAUUAGUCUGCCUCGGCAGACCCAAUCCUGCUACACUUGACUGGCUCAGGUUCUGUGGGACAGAGCUGGUGGGAGCUCAGCAGGCGGCUCACUUGCUGAUAUACCUGCUGGUGCAGAAGGAGGUGCCCCCAGAGAGAGGCAAGGAGGAGGUGCCCCCACCCCUGCCCCCCCGCAGAAGAGGCAGCAUUGUGGAGCAGGAAAGGCAAGGAUUUUGGAAUUAGAGAGAGCUAGUUUCAACUCCAGAACCUGCCAUUUACAGUCGGCAUGACUUUGUGUUAGUUCCUGGGGCCUCAAUUUUCCUCCUGUAAAAUGGGGUCAGUGUCCCGAUAUUGCGGGUGGUUGUGAGGAUGGAAGGAGAUGAUGUAAUGUGUAGGACAUCCAGCAUGGAGCCUGGCCCAUGUGGCCAGUGACCAGAAUGUGGGUGUUCCCUCCCUCUUGCCACAAAGGGCCUCUGACCUCUCUGCAGAAGCCGGGCCUCGCAGUCAGACCUGACCAAUUGGGUGGGUGGCACCAGUGACCCUCAGUGGUCCACUUAGCUGAGAAGCCGGGCCUCGCAGUCAGACCUGACCAAUUGGGUGGGUGGCACCAGUGACCCCCAGUGGUCCACUUAGCUGAGUCAUUGAUGUUCCAAGAGGAACCUGGAGACCCACAUCUAACCGACCCUGCCCUACCCAAGAACAACCCUGCAGGCAAAUUUCAGGACACAGAACCCAGGGUCAUGCUGCCUGGGCUCAAAUCCCUGCUCUCCGCUCACAGUAGUGUGACCUUGACCUAACUUUCUGUCUCUAAGUGUGCACUUCCCAAAGCAGAGAUGAUAACAGUACCCAACUCACAGGAUACACUUUCUGCAUAAUUGAAGCUCUUCCCUUCAACCUCAAAACUCCAUCUUACUCUCUGGGAUGGAAAUCAUCUCAGAUGUCUCACUCACAUCCCUGCCUCCCUCACCAGAGGAUCCUGAAAAUAACGCUUCUCUCCCUGCCUUGGAAGCAUGAGCGUUCACACCCGCUAUACGGUGCAGAAAGACAGUUCUGUGCUUCUGCCUUGUGGCGUUUCCCCUUCUCACGAGUUGUCACUCUGCUGCUGUCAGAGUGUUAUGGGGGUGCUCCUGCACUCUGCUCCUAAGCCACUACUGGAUAGAGAAGGAGUCGGCAAACAUUUUCUACAAAAGGCCACGUGUGUUUGUGUAUGUGCGAGCACAUAUGCAAUAUUAGACUUGAAGUCUGAUAUUUUAGACUUCGAGGGCCACAUAUAGUCUCUGCCACAUACUCUUUUUUGUUUGUUUGUUUGUUUUGACCCUUUAAAAACAUAAGGAUCAUUCUUAGCCCCACAGCCACAGGAAAACAGGCUGUGGGCUGAACGUGACCAUGGGAUUUAGUUUGCCAGCCGCUGGAGAGAUGCGCUAGUUAAAAAUGCGUGUUAACUUACAUUUAUGGAGGUUGUGAGUGACACAGGUGCUUUCAGGCAGUGUUUCUGCCCACCAGGGACAGGCUGUGUUCCCCAGGCUUCUGCGCCUCUGGCCUUUGCAUUCCUGUGGUGUGCUUGCCACCAACCAGGAGAUGCAUUCAACACCAAGUGUGGAGGGGGUCGGGGACAGCUCAGGGCCUCCACCUAAUUUAUCUUACUUAGUUCUUAAACAACCUCAUGGGAAAUUCUCAUGCCCAUUUUCUACAGAGCUGACAUUGCAACACGAGUCACCUGACUCCAAAGCCAUGGCCCCACGGCAGGCCCCUGCAUGUGUCUUCGGAGGAGAUCAGAGGAAGGAUUAGGGGAGAGAGGCAGGAGGGAAGAGAGAGGCAGACAGGGCAACAAGACAGUCCUUCAGCCCAUGUGCUAUAUUAUAACAUUGACUAAAUAGCAUAGUGGAGUUUUUUUGGAAAAGUGUUUUUUUUUUCAAGUAUAAUAUAGGUUUAUUACAAAAAUUCAGUCACAUAAAUAAAUGAAGAAGAAAAUAAGAAAUCAACCCCAAAUCCUACCCCCUAGAGACAACCCCUGAUUCUACUGUGGUGAAGGCUCUCCAGACAUCCCUGUCUGAACGUAAACACAUAUGUACACCGUUUUAAGUGAACAGGAGGAGACUCCACAUGCUGUUGUGUAAAUGAUUUUUUCUCCCGACAAUAUGUUGCGGACAUUUUUCCAUGUCAAUAAACACAGAUCGACAGCGUUGUGUUAAA